rnacentral:rRNA from 1 species
GUGCCAGCAGCCGCGGUAAUACGGAGGGUGCAAGCGUUGUUCGGAUUUACUGGGCGUAAAGGGCGUGUAGGCGGUUAGCUAAGUCAGAUGUGAAAGCCCUUGGCUUAACCAAGGAAGAGCAUUUGAAACUAGCUGACUAGAGUACAGGAGAGGAAAGUGGAAUUCCCAGUGUAGAGGUGAAAUUCAUAGAUAUUGGGAGGAACACCGGUAGCGAAGGCGGCUUUCUGGUCUGAUACUGACGCUGAGACGCGAAAGCGUGGGGAGCAAACAGGAUUAGAAACCCCAGUAGUCC